AGUGGCGAACGGGUGAGGUAACACGUGGGCAACCUGCCCAAAANAGGGGGAGUAACACUUGGUAAACAGGUGCUAAUACCGCAUAACCAUAGUUACCGCAUGGUAACUAUGUAAAAGGUGGCUAUACUACCGCGUUUUGGAUGGGCCCGCGGCGCAUUAGCUAGUUGGUAGGGUAAAGGCUUACCAAGGCAAUGAUGCGUAGCCGAAUUGAGAGGUUGAUCGGCCACAUUGGGACUGAGACACGGCCCAAACUCCUACGGGAGGCAGCAG
rnacentral:rRNA from 1 species